UUAGUCUUCAUUCCAAUAUUGGAUACCUAUGCAGGCAGACCUAUAGGACAACUGCUGGAAAAUUAAAGGGAUAUUUUUAUCCUAAGUUUACAAGUGGAUCCCUUCUGUUGGACUUCACUGAUACUUUGAAAAACUGAGGAAAUGCCAACCCAAUGAGCCAAGAAAAAUGAAUGAAAUAUAUAUCUACAUGCUGGAGAAGAAUAUAAUUCAUUAGGUGGCCUAUAAUAAGGAAUCCCAAUAAACGCUAUCAUAUUCUGGGAAUAAUUUUCUUCAAGUUUUUUUAACUUGGUAAUAAAUAUUUUUCAGUACAACUUAGGUUCAAUUAGAACUUCAUACCUUUUGAAUACUACAGUUAUUACAAUAUAAACGGAGAGCUGUUAUUUAGAAAACACCCCUGAAGAAGUCGAUAUAGACGAAACGCGUUGGAUGAAAGCUCAUUAUAUUGUUUUUUUCCUUAUACAAAUAAUGUUGAAAUAUACAAUUGUAUCUCCAAUGUAAAAGGAAAAGUUUUAUGAUCAGUUUUAAAUCAAAAUCUUUUAAUAAAGAGAUAUGUGAUUCUAA